AAACUCAUUAUUUUCAUUAAUUUUAAAAAAGUAAACAAUUUGUUUGCAUUUGCGCUAGCAUAUUCAUGCAGCGCUGUCUCGUGAGUGCAGUGGAUGUUUUUGAAUUCCAACGGUCGAGAAGAGAUUGAUCCCCGUCUGCUGAUUUAAAUUGAUGGUCUGACAGAAAUAUUGUUGUGCGGAUUUACACUAAAACACGAAAGAGCCUGAACCGCGAAAGUGUCACAAGUUGCCUUACAUCCAUAAGUUUUGUUGUGCUUGUUGCAAACUGUUAAAUUAAGUGUUUUCCGAUCCUAAGCUUAGAAAAAAAGAUGCAAGACUUCAAACUUUCCAGUACUCCUGUGUACUGAUAAUCCGGUUUCCACCCAGUCCCAGGAGAUUAUAUUAAACCUGGAAAAUAUUGGAGAAGAUCAAUUAAGUUUUCAGGAGCACAUUACUGUGAUAAAUGCUGAGCUAUGUAAAAGUCAACCUGCUACACCAACAUAUCAAAAAUCGAAUGAGGUGCGCUCUUGUUAAAAGGGUUGAUUUAAUGACAAAAUCAACAUGAGAGGUCAUGGACAUGUUCCCAUUUCUUCGGGUUCCACAAAUUCUGCUGCAUGAAGUGAAGAUGCGGUUUGGGAAGGACCUUCAUCUC